AGGGAAUCUUCGGCAAUGGACGGAAGUCUGACCGAGCAACGCCGCGUGAGUGAAGAAGGUUUUCGGAUCGUAAAGCUCUGUUGUAAGAGAAGAACGAGUGUGAGAGUGGAAAGUUCACGCUGUGACGGUAUCUUACCAGAAAGGGACGGCUAACUACGUGCCAGCAGCCGCGGUAAUACGUAGGUCCCGAGCGUUGUCCGGAUUUAUUGGGCGUAAAGCGAGCGCAGGCGGUUAGAUAAGUCUGAAGUUAAAGGCUGUGGCUUAACCAUAGUACGCUUUGGAAACUGUUUAACUUGAGUGCAAGAGGGGAGAGUGGAAUUCCAUGUGUAGCGGUGAAAUGCGUAGAGAUUAGGAGGAACACCAGUGGCGAAGGCGGCUUUUUGGCCUGUAACUGACACUGAGGCGCGAAAGCGUGGGGAGCAAACAGGAUUAGAUACCCUGGUAGUCCACGCCGUAAACGAUGAGUGCUAGGUGUUAGACCCUUUCCGGGGUUUAGUGCCGCAGCUAACGCAUUAAGCACUCCGCCUGGGGAGUACGACCGCAAGGUUG
rnacentral:rRNA from 1 species